rnacentral:lncRNA from 1 species
GAAACAUUGGCUAAAGGUAGCAGGAAAGCUGGAGGCUCCUGAGAACUCCAAUUAAGGCAGAAGCCGGCUAUAUUUGGGAGCCAAUUAAUUUCACAACGUCGAAAACUAACGCGUUUAAGAUUCUACCGUUCACAUCAUUUUUCUCUAUGAAAACGUUUUAACUGUGUUGUGCCUGUCAUCAUCUUACCCGGAGUGUCUGUAAAAACUUUCAUGUAAGGAAGACCUCAGGAUUGCUAGAUAUAACCAAAGGCUUACUCUUUACCUUCUAAAAUUGCAGUCAAUUUUAAGACACUUUCAAGUCAAUCCGCGCUCAUCACCAAAGUGAGCCCUGAGUACUGCAAAAUGCCUUUUGCACUGGCUUCUAAAUGAAGUGGAGGUGGGAGCUGCUUUCCUCCUCUACCCUCCUCUCUUGGGCUUUCCACUGGUGGACUCACCUUCUGCUAUGAUCUCAACUACUAUUGACAGGCUGAUGGCUAAGAAAUCAGUGAUGAAGGUGACAACAGUGAUGACAACAGCCGACAUUUGCUGAGCAUUGACACGUGUCUUAAAGUCAACCUGUCUAAAACUGGACUUCUUUUCUUCUCCUGGAAUCUAUUCUUCCUGUUGCAUUUCUCAUGUUAAUUCAUUGUUUCAUUCUCAACCGCAUCAUUCUUGAGUUUCUAAACUUCUUAGCUCAUCAGAUCCCACUGAUUUCUCCUGCCUGCUGAGUAGAACCAGGAAUGAUUGUCUCUCUGAUCAGUUCUUUCCCAGCUCCCCUGCCCAGUGCUUUCGUUCAGAGGGCACACUUCUCAUCUGCCAACUGGCCCUGCAGCCUUCUAGUUCUCCCUGACCCUGCUCAUCUUCGGGACUGUCCCCGAAGGAUAUUUGUGUGGCACGGAUCAGUACUCCUCUGUGUUCCCUGCCUCUGCCCAGUUGCUCAGGCCAAAAUCCCAAGAGUAUCCUUGAUUCCUCUCUCCCUCUUCUCCCUCAUUGUACCCAGCAGGAAUCCUGCCACCCCUGCCUCCAAACACUCUGACCCUUCCCUCUUUCUCUUUCCCCACUGCUGCAGAGAUUGUUCAAGCCAUCACCAUGCCUCCUGCAGGCCUCAAAAUAACCAGGAAAGGCAAGAAUAACCUGCCCUUCUCCCAUGCAGUCCACAGAGUAGCCAAAAAGCAGCUCAUGUCAACUUGACCCUAGAAUCAAAUCUAUACUCCUACUCCAGCCUCUGCCAUUCAGCCCCCAGCAUCAUCUACCAUUCCUGCUCUUGCCCACCACCUCAGCCAUGUUACCUUUGUGUCUGGUGAACUUCAAAUGCACUGGACUCACCCUGCCUUAGGGCCUCUGUGCCAGCUGUUCCUGCUGCCUGACAGAUUUUCCCUCAGCUCCUUGCAUGUCCUCUCUGACACUCAGGUCUCAACUCCAAUGUCACCUUCACAGUCAGGCCGCUUCUCUGAUCAUCCAUUCUCAAAUAGUUUCCCAGGCACUAACACAUCCUCUUAGCCCUUCAUUGUUGACUUAUUUGCUCACUUGUGUAUUGUCUGUCUCCCUCUGUUGAAAUGUAAGCUGUUUGAAAGCGGGGACCUCGCGAUGACCGUCUUUCCUCUACUGUAACCCUGUAACCCCAGCUCCUAGAAGAGUGCCCGGUAUACAGUGAUUGCUCAAUACAUGUUUGUAGAGUGUUGAAUGAAUAAACAGGGAGGUCACUCUCUAGUUAAAAACACCCUAUUUUUCCCACUGCCAUGGAAUCUAGUCUGAUCUCUGAGCCUGACGUUCAGGCUCUCGCAGUCUAGUUCUGACCUGCCAAAAUUAACCUCCUGCUACUCCCUCCCUCCUCACGUUUCUAAUCUGCCUUUUUUUUUUUUUUUUUUUUUUUUUGCCUGAAUAUAGCGAGUGCUUUCACACUUUCCUGCCUUUGCAAAUUUGGUUCUCACUGCCUGAUGAUUUUCCCUUUCUCUGUCUGAUGAGCUUCUCUCAUUCAGGAACAACCAAGCUCCAACAUCCCCUCAUUGAAGAAGGUGCAACCAAGUGCCCCCAAGCAAGGGAGCUGUUCGCUGUUCCCACGCCCUUUCAUGCCGGCGUAUCAGACUCGGGAUGGCGUACAGUAGACCCUUGGCGCUGGCAGUCCUGAAGGUCACGUGGCAUGUGCAGUGUGAAUGAAGAUCAUAAUCCUAAUCACACGAUCGUGAAAUGAGAUGAUGAGUGCAAAACGCCUUGUGUGACCUUGACUCACCCCCAACCCGGAGGCAGGUUUGAAUUAAGAAGUCACUUAACUAGUGAGUGAGCACCGCUGACCAAUGAAUAUGUGCAUAACAGUAGUCAAUUUAAGGAUUCCCAAAGGUUUCUGGACAUGAGCCUUGUGAAAGUCAAGGGCCAACUGUAUUAUAGUUACUUAUGUAUCUUUUUCUCCCUUCUCAGAAACAGGCAUGAGUAGCCUGGCUCUUCUUAGGCGUAUGGACCGUAACAGACACUAAGAUAAAGGUUUGUUGCAUCAAUAACUGAAAUAAGAUCUAUGUGAAUGUGUGAGUCCGUGGAUGCGUGAGUCCGUGGAUGCAGGAAAGACUCGCCACUUCCCCCAAACACUUACCUCGCCUACUUGUUAAUGUCCAAAUUAUUUUACCGAGGGACAAAACCUUUUAUUUUACAAUGGAAGAUCAUUUAGGCCUCAGCAAAAUGACAAACUGCUACAUUUCUCAGAUCUUCAUGGUUGCUCAAGAAUGAUCAAAAUAGUAAAUGUUACACCUGCAGGUGUCUAGAAGCCAGAGCUUGUAUCUAUUUGUUUAAGCAUCUGUCUCUCCACUCUCCAGUGAGCACCUCAAGAAAAACAUGAUGUCUCAUUGUUCCCAUCACUGUCCCCAUCAUCAUACUUACUGGCCUCAUUGCACUUGUUUUCUUUCUUUGUAUACUCAUGUGAUGCCUACCUACCUCCUUUGAAAUCCAGGCUUCGUGGGAAUAGACCAUGUAGGUUAGCCUUACAGCUCUAUCCCCCUGUGCACCCCACACAGGAGAUGCUCAGAAAAUGUUU